CAUGGAUGAAAGCGGGGGAUCGCAAGACCUCGCGCGAUUGGAGCGGCCGAUAUCAGAUUAAGUAGUUGGUGGGGUAAAAGCCCACCAAGCCGACGAUCUGUAGCUGGUCUGAGAGGAACGACAGCCACACUGGGACUGAGACAACGGCCAGACUCCUACGGGAGGCAGCAGUGGGGAAUUUUGGACAAUGGGCGCAAGCCUGAUCCAGCAAUGCCGCGUGCAGGAUGAAGGCCUUCGGGUUGUAAACUGCUUUUGUACGGAACGAAACAGUGAGCUCUAAUAAAGCUUGCGAAUGACGGUACCGUAAGAAUAAGGCACCGGUAACUACGUGCCAGCAGCCGCGGUAAUA
rnacentral:rRNA from 1 species